rnacentral:rRNA from 1 species
CCUACGGGUGGCAGCAGUAGGGAAUAUUGCUCAAUGGGGGAAACCCUGAAGCAGCAACGCCGCGUGGAGGAUGAAGGUUCUCGGAUUUUUAAAUCCUUUUGUUGGAGAAGAUAAUGACGGUAUCUAACGAAUAAGCACCGGCUAACUCCGGGCCAGCAGCCGCGGUAAUACGGAGGGUGCAAGCGUUACUCGGAAUCACUGGGCGUAAAGCGCGCGUAGGCGGGAUAGCAAGUCAGAUGUGAAGUCCUAUGGCUUAACCAUAGAACUGCAUUUGAAACUGUUAUUCUAGAGUAUGGGAGAGGUAGGUGGAAUUCUUGGUGUAGGGGUAAAAUCCGUAGAGAUCAAGAGGAAUACUCAUGGCGAAGGCGACCUGCUAGAACAUAACUGACGCUGAUGCGCGAAAGCGUGGGGAGCAAACAGGAUUAGAUACCCCAGUAGUC